rnacentral:lncRNA from 1 species
AUAUAAACCCUACAAGCAACACAAUGCUGUACGCGGAGGAAUAAAUUGUGCGCUUAUACAUGUCAGCUAGACCGCAGUCAUACCCAGUUAUAUUGUGUUUGCGAUGUUUUAGGUUUAUUCCACUUAAUAUACCUUCAGGCAAGGAAACAGCUGUUACAACGAUCCCAAGAAUAAUGAUGCUCACCAAAGCUUGACGUGGCGAUAACGGAAGUUUUAAUGGCCACCAAAUUCUGUGCAGUCUGUUAGCGGACAUCAUUACUAGCAACAGUGAAGCCAUUACAGAUAGAUGAACACUAAUUACUUUGAAUGACUUACAUGCGUUUUCUGCAUAAAAUGUUAAUUGGUGUGUCUGCUGGUAAAAUUCAAAAGGGAUAAUUAUUAUGCAUAUUAGAAAAUCUACAAUAGUAAUGGUACGAAUAAAAGUCCAGUGUGCUCCUUCGAGUUUCCAUAGCGAUCCGAAAUAUAUCAGAAUUACCAAAGUAUUCCCAGGUAUCCCAAUAAUCAUAACCAAUGAUAAAUAAACUAUUGUCGGAAUACGUUCCAUCAAUUCCUCAGUAUUCAAGGUCGCCAAAGUAAUUGGUGCUUCCGAAACAUUCAUGAUAACUCUUUCUUUUGAUUAAAUAAUUAACAUUCAUUUAAUCAAUGUC